rnacentral:tRNA from 1 species
GCCUCCUUCGCAUAGUGGCCGAUUGCACUUGCCUUGUAAGCAUGUCUCUAAUGAGCGCGUAGGUUCGAAUCCUACAGGAGGCU